UACGUAGGGUCCAAGCGUUAUCCGGAAUCACUGGGCGUAAAGCGUGCGUAGGUGGCUUGUUAAGUGAGAUGUGAAAGCGUGUGGCUCAACCAUAUCGUUGUGUCUCAUACUGGCAAGCUAGAGGACAGCAGAGGCAAGUGGAAUUGGCAGUGUAGCAGUGAAAUGCGUAGAGAUUGCCAGGAACACCAAUGGCGAAGGCAGCUUGCUGGGCUACUCCUGACACUGAGGUACGAAAGCGUGGGGAGCGAACAGG
rnacentral:rRNA from 1 species